rnacentral:tRNA from 1 species
GCCUUCGUAGUUCAACGGUAAAACGGUGGUUUAGUAAUCCUCUGUUGACAGUUCGAUUCUGUCCGAAGGCUCCA